rnacentral:rRNA from 1 species
AUUGAACGCUGGCGGCGGGCCUAACACAUGCAAGUCGAACGAGUGGCGGACGGGUGAGUAAUGUCUGGGAAACCGCCCGAUGGAGGGGGAUCACUACUGGAAACGGUCGCUAAUAACGCAUACCAUCGGAUUUGCCAAGAUGGGAUUAGCUUGUAGGUGAGGUAACGGCUCACCUAGGCGACGAUCCCUAGCUGGUCUGAGAGGAUGACCAGCAACAAUGGAACUGUGACACGGUCCAGACUCCUACGGGAGGCAGCAGUGGGGAAUAUGGCACAAUGGGCGCAAGCCUGACGCAGCCAUGCCGCGUGUAUGAAGAAGGCCUUCGGGUUGUAAAGUACUGUCAGCGGGGAGGCGUUACCCGCAGAGGAAGCACCGGCUAACUCCGUGCCAGCAGCCGCGGUAAUUC